rnacentral:rRNA from 1 species
UACGUAGGGGGCUAGCGUUGUCCCGAUUUAUUGGGCGUAAAGAGCGUGUAGGCGGCCAGGUAGGUCUGCUGUGAAAACUCGAGGCUCAACCUCGAGACGUCGGCGGAAACCAUCUGGCUAGAGUCCGGAAGAGGAGAGUGGAAUUCCUGGUGUAGCGGUGAAAUGCGCAGAUAUCAGGAAGAACACCCGUGGCGAAGGCGGCUCUCUGGGACGGUACUGACGCUGAGGAGCGAAAGCCAGGGGAGCAAACGGG